rnacentral:tRNA from 1 species
CGAGGCGUAGCUCAGAGGUCAGAGCCUUGGGUCGCAGGUUCGAAUCCUGCCGCCUCUC